GGAAGCUUAUAAGGCGCGCGGCGGAUGCCUUGGAGCCGGAUGGCGAUGAAGGACGCGACAACCUGCGAUAAGCCCGGGGGAGCUGGACGUAAGCCUAGAUCCCGGGAUUUCCGAAUGGGGAAACCCAGCCAGCUACAAGCUGGCUACCCAUGGCCCAACACAUAAGCCAUGGGAGGCAACCCAGGGAACCGAAACAUCGAAGUACCUGGAGGAAAAGAAAGAGAGAUCGAUUCCGUUAGUAGUGGCGAGCGAAAGCGGAGGAGCCCAAGUCUGCAACAUGUAAGGAGCGCCUAGGGGAAUCCACUGGAAUGUGGAGCCAUAGGGGGUGAAAGCCCCGUACCCGAAGGGCAAACCAAACUAGCAGGAAAGAGUAAGUCGGGACACGUGAAAUCCUGACCGAAGAUGCGGGGACCGCCCCGUAAGGCUAAAUACGGUCCGGCUACCGAUAGCGAACAAGUACCGUGAGGGAAAGGUGAAAAGCACCCCGGGAGGGGAGUGAAAGAGAUCCUGAAACCGCGCGCUGACGAGAUGGCGGAGGGCGUUAAAGCCUGACGCCGUGCCUAUUGAAGAAUGAGCCUGCGAGUCAGUGCACACGCGCGAGGAUAAGGGGAAGACCCGGAUCCGCAGCGAAAGCGAGCCCGAAUAGGGCGCACAGUGCGUGUGUCUGCACCCGAAACCCGGCGAUCUAGCCAUGUCCAGGAUGAAGCAGGGGUGAAACCCUGUGGAGGUCCGCACCGACGUUCGUUGAAACGCCCGCGGAUGAGAUGUGGCUCGUGGUGAAAUUCCAAUCGAGCCGGGUAAUAGCUGGUUCUCCCCGAAACAUCUUUAGGGAUGGCCUCAUGUGUUUGGCCCCGGAGGUAGAGCGACUGGAUGGGAAGGGCCCGAGCGAUCGGGUUCCGGCCCGACCAAACUCCGAAUGCCGGGAGCCCUAAGCAUGGGAGCCAGACGGUGGGAGACAAGUUCCAUCGUCAAGAGGGCAACAGCCCAGACCGCCGGAUAAGGCCCCUAAAUCCACGCUAAGUGUGUAAGGAUGUGGAAACGCUAAGACAGCCAGGAUGUUGGCUCAGAGGCAGCCAUCAUUCAAAGAAUGCGUAACAGCUCACUGGUCAAGCGUUUCUGCGCCGAAAAUUUACCGGGGCUAAGCGUGGUGCCGAAUCCGCGGAUUCGACCAUCAGGUCGAGUGGUAGGGGAGCGUCGUCGCUGGGGCGAAGGAUGACCGUGAGGACAUCUGGACCGUCGACGAGUGAGAAUGCAGGCGUAAGUAGCGAUGAGGGGUGAGAAUCCCCUCCGCCGAAUGACUAAGGUCUCCCGGGCAAGGUUCGUCCACCCGGGGUCAGCCGGGGGCUAAGGUGAGGCCGAAAGGCGUAGCCGAUGCACAAUGGGUUAAGACUCCCAUGCCCCGACGUGAAUUGGCUGAGCAGUGACGGAUCCGGAAGGUCGUACCAGCUGUCGGAAUAGCUGGGCUGCCUUGGAGAUUGGGGCGGGUAAUUCCCGCUUGUAAUGUCUCCAAGGUGGGUAGGAAACCAGGGAUGGGAGUACGAAAUCGGCCGGAAGGGUCCCGGGAAAAGCUGCCCAGUGCCGCACGUCGGGCCCGUACCGAGAACGAACACACGUGGUCAGGUCGAGUAGACCGAGGCGAGCGAGAUAACUGUUGUUAAGGAACUCUGCAAAAUUGCUCCGCAAGUUAGCGAGAAGGAGCGCUCUCCUCCGGGAGAGCCGCAGUGAAGAGGCCCAGGUAACUGUUUACCAAAAACACAGCUCUAUGCGAAGGCGCAAGCCGAUGUAUAUGGGGUGAAGCCUGCCCGGUGCCGGAAGAUUAAGGGGAGGGGUUAGGAGCAAUCCGAAGCCCUGAGCCGAAGUCCCGGUGAACGGCGGCCGUAACUAUAACGGUCCUAAGGUAGCGAAAUUCCUUGUCAGGCAAGUUCUGACGCGCAUGAAUGGUAUAAUAAUCUGGGCGCUGUCUCGACAGCAGACUCGGCGAAAUCUUAAUCCCUGUGAAGAUGCAGGGUGCCCGCGACUAGACGGAAAGACCCCAUGGAGCUUCACUGUAGCUUGGCAUUGGGCGGCCGCGCGCCGCGCACAGGAUAGGUGGGAGGCUAUGAAGGCGGGACUCUGGUUCCGCUGGAGCCGACGUUUGGAUACCACUCUCGGCGUGCGUCCGUCCUAACCGGAACCCUGGAUGGGUUUCGGGACAGUGCCUGGUGGGCAGUUUGACUGGGGCGGUCGCCUCCCAAAGAGUAACGGAGGCGCUCGAAGGUGCCCUUGGGCCGGUUGGAAACCGGUCUGUACGCGCAAACGCAUAAGGGCGCCCGACUGCGAGAGGUACAUCUCGAGCAGGCGCGAAAGCGGGAGUUAGUGACCCGGCGGCACGUUGCGGAACGGCCGUCGCUUAACGGAUAAAAGCUACCCUGGGGAUAACAGGCUGAUCGGUUCCAAGAGUUCACUUCGACGAGCCGGUUUGGCACCUCGAUGUCGGCUCAUCGCAUCCUGGAGGGGCAGUCCCUUCCAAGGGUUUGGCUGUUCGCCAAUUAAAGCGGUACGCGAGCUGGGUUCAAAACGUCGUGAGACAGUUUGGUCCCUAUCUGUCGUGGGUGCAGGAGGCCUGAGGGAAGUCUCUCCUAGUACGCAAGGACCGGGGAGAACGCGGCUACGGUGGUCCGGUUGUCACGCCAGUGGCAUCGCCGGAAAGCCGCCCGCGGCACGGAUAAACGCUGAGAGCAUCUAAGCGUGAAGCCGCUCCCAAGACUAGGCCUCCCACAGCGCAAGCUGGUAAGGGCACCGGUAAGUCACCGGUUUGAUGGACGUCCGCUGCAGGCAUGGCGACAUGCAGAGGUAGGACGCACCAAUAGCCCGAGGGCUCUAUCC
rnacentral:rRNA from 1 species